rnacentral:rRNA from 1 species
UGUUGGUGGGGUGAUGGCUCAGCAAGGCGACGACGGGUAGCCGGCCUGAGAGGGCGACCGGCCACACUGGGACUGAGACACGGCCCAGACUCCUACGGGAGGCAGCAGUGGGGAAUAUUGCGCAAUGGGCGAAGCCUGACGCAGCGACGCCGCGUGGGGGAUGAAGGCCUUCGGGUUGUAAACCUCUUUCAGCAGGGACGAAUUCAGACGGUACCUGCAGAAGAAGCACCGGCCAACUACGUGCCAGCAGCCGCGGUAAUACGUAGGGUGCAAGCGUUGUCCGGAAUUAUUGGGCGUAAGAGCUCGUAGGCGGUCUGUCGCGUCGGCUGUGAAACUUGGGGCUCAACCCCAAGCCUGCAGUCGAUACGGGCAGACUAGGGUGCGGUACCGGAGACUGGAAUUCCUGGUGUAGCGGUGAAAUGCGCAGAUAUCAGGAGGAACACCGGUGGCGAAGGCGGGUCUCUGGGCCGUAACUGACGCUGAGGAGCGUUAGCGUGGGGAGCGAACAGGAUUAGAUACCCUGGUAGUCCACGCCGUAAACGGUGGGUGCUAGGUGUAGGCGGUAUUCCACGCCGUCUGUGCCGCAGCUAACGCAUUAAGCACCCCGCCUGGGGAGUACGGCCGCAAGGCUAAAACUCAUAGGAAUUGACGCUGGCCCGCACAAGCAGCGGAGCAUGUGGCUCAAUUCGACGCAACG